ACAUCACGUUGAAACACCAGUUCUUGUAUGAUGUCCGAAAUUAAGCAACGUCGUGCCUGGUCAGUCCUCAGAUGGGUGAUCGCUUGGGAAUACCAAAUGUU